rnacentral:rRNA from 1 species
GAAGUAAAAGUCGUAACAAGGUCUCCGUUGGUGAACCAGCGGAGGGAUCAUUACCGAGUUUACAACUCCCAAACCCCUGUGAACAUACCACUUGUUGCCUCGGCGGAUCAGCCCGCUCCCGGUAAAACGGGACGGCCCGCCAGAGGACCCCUAAACUCUGUUUCUAUAUGUAACUUCUGAGUAAAACCAUAAAUAAAUCAAAACUUUCAACAACGGAUCUCUUGGUUCUGGCAUCGAUGAAGAACGCAGCAAAAUGCGAUAAGUAAUGUGAAUUGCAGAAUUCAGUGAAUCAUCGAAUCUUUGAACGCACAUUGCGCCCGCCAGUAUUCUGGCGGGCAUGCCUGUUCGAGCGUCAUUUCAACCCUCAAGCACAGCUUGGUGUUGGGACUCGCGUUAAUUCGCGUUCCCCAAAUUGAUUGGCGGUCACGUCGAGCUUCCAUAGCGUAGUAGUAAAACCCUCGUUACUGGUAAUCGUCGCGGCCACGCCGUUAAACCCCAACUUCUGAAUGUUGACCUCGGAUCAGGUAGGAAUACCCGCUGAACUUAAGCAUA